rnacentral:lncRNA from 1 species
CCGCUGCCUGGCCUCCAGCGAGCUCCGCGCGUCUGAGAAGGAGCUAAGGGCUCCCUGGUUCAAAGGGCCGCAGCCCCGAGGGAAUGCCCUCUUCGUGUGCCCCGGGGUGCAGAAGCAGACUGCAGGGCGGUGGGACCAGCCUGGGCCACGGGAAACAGACUUCCCUUGCUCUCUCAGAAGUUCAUGAGGAGUAUGCCUAAGUUACAAUACAGCUUCUGACCCAUCUAUAAUAGUGGGAAUUGAAGCCCUCCAAGCUGCGUCCCUUUUUCAAGAAAGGGAAAAGAGCUAAACAGGUGAAGAUGAUAACAGCUUAAAAAAAAAAGGACUGGGCACUGCUGUGACUAUCUUUAAUCCCAGCACUCAGGAGGCAGAGGCAGGUGGAUGUCUGUGAGUGUGG